rnacentral:rRNA from 1 species
UACGUAGGGGGCAAGCGUUGCCCGGAAUUAUUGGGCGUAAAGGGUGCGUAGGCGGCGCGGUAAGUCGGGUGUGAAAUCUCGGGGCUUAACUCCGAAACUGCAUUCGAUACUGCCGUGCUUGAGGACUGGAGAGGAGACUGGAAUUUACGGUGUAGCGGUGAAAUGCGUAGAUAUCGUAAGGAAGACCAGUGGCGAAGGCGGGUCUCUGGACAAUUCCUGACACUGAGGCACGAAAGCCAAGGGAGCAAACAGG